rnacentral:rRNA from 1 species
UUUUAAAGAGAGUUUGAUCCUGGCUCAGGACGAACGCUGGCGGCGUGCCUAAUACAUGCAAGUCGAACGAACGGAGG